UACGUAGGGAGCAAGCGUUUGUCCGGAAUCAUUGGGCGUAAAGCGCGCGUAGGUGGCUUCGUAAGUCCGUUGUGAAAGUCAAAGGCUCAACCUUUGAAAGCCGAUGGAUACUGCGGAGCUAGAGUACGGAAGAGGCGAGUGGAAUUCCUGGUGUAGCGGUGGAAUGCGCAGAUAUCAAGGAGGAACACCAAUAGCGAAGGCAGCUCGCUGGGACGUUACUGACACUGAGGCGCGAAAGCGUGGGGAGCGAACAGGG
rnacentral:rRNA from 1 species